GUUAAACAAAUGAUGUGAUAUCUGGAUUCAGGGGGAAGCCACCCAGGAGUAUAUAAAAGAUGCAAAGAUAUUCCUGCCAGUGAACACCCAAACUCUAGUCGCUAAUUUGAUGCGGAAAGCAAUAAUCUGUUCUAAAGCUGCCUCCAUUCCUGAGCAAUAUCAAACCAAGUGCGAGCGUCAUUAAUGGAACCGCUUGAACAGUGCGUGAAAGUAAUAAUCACUUGUGCGCUGAGGGGGGUGGCUGCUGGAGGUCCUUGUUUCUGUUAGCUCUCCUCAAGAGGGCAGCACCAUCAGGAGGUGGUGCCCCCUCAUCCCAGCCUGCACGCAGUUCACGUAUGUUCCCCAGCUGCGAUGAAUAUCCCCCAGCUCUGCAAACAGAGAAUGUAUGAGCUCCAGGUGACGCUGUGAGCGUUGUUUUCUCCUGAAGAGAAAGCAGCUGGAGGAAGUAACGUCUGAAAUUGCCACAACUGUUUGUGAAGGCAGCACCUUGCCAUGGCAGUCUUUGGCAUCAGCAGAGGGCAGCAGAUGGCAUCUCCUUAGAGGUUUUGAAGCUGAAAAACAGCUGUUAAGAAGCCUAGGCCCAGAGUGGUCCCAGCAAACCAUAGGAUGAAACCACAUUGCAGAGUGCCAGAACCCUCCACAGAGCAGCAUUUUCCUUCACUAGACAGCUGUGAUCUUCACCUGUCCUGCCCUCCUGAGAUGAUGACCACGUGCCCAUGCUAACGCUGAAUGGGGGUAAGCUGAGCAGCCACGAUACACACAGGACAAUUGAGGAGAGAGGACUUUGGUCCAGAGAGAACAGAGGAUGAAGGAAAACAAGUCCUUUGUGUCUCAUAUUCACUGAUCAGCCAGGCACACAAAGAGAGUAGGUAAAUGAUGGAUGGGUCUAGCAUGAAUUUCAGCCUUGCAUUAUCUGGCCAUUUCUCUGUGUUAAAUACUUCUCAUGGUUUUCUGCUGAGUUAAAGGUCUCUACAGGUACUCUAGAGAUACCGUAUUUAAUAGUUGCAAAUGUGUAAUCAAAUACAAUUAAUAAUAAUAAUUGGAAUAACCAGUACACUGUUACAAUUGACUUAAAUGUUCCUUACUAAUUAGAAUGACUACAGUUCAGAAAUCGUUGACAAGUGUGUUAUCCCAGGAAAAACAAGCUGGUCUGAAUCUGUGGCACGUAUCAGUGUUGUGUUAAUAUGGUGCUGUCCAAGAGUGGGUUUUAUUUUAUCUUAUUUCUUUGCAUUUUCUGGGAAUACUAGAGCUGCACAGAAGGAAAAUGUUUCACUGGUCGCAGCAAGGGGUUAACUGUGCUGUGAUCUCACCUCAGGGCAGGAGGUGAGCUGAGCCUUGGGGGUGGUCACAGCGCUGGGUUUCAGAGGGGCUCUGGGAGGGGAGAGCAGCUGAGCUGGGAGCCUGCUGCAUCAUGC